AUUAUUAAAAUAAAAGAAAGGCAUGAGUUUUAUAAUCAUUUCGAAAUAGCCCUUAUUGAAAAGAUAUUUCGAAAUCACCCCAACUAUCGUAGAAACCCCUCAGACCCAAAGUAGGGUUUUAGCUUUAACCCUCAGCAAGCCAGCCAUGAAGCAAGAGUCAAUUCCCUCUUGUUCAUAUUCCGAAACCAAGAAGAACAACCUUCUGAAUCUACCAUUUCUUCUCAUAAUCAAUGGCCUCAAUUGGUGCUCGGUCUGCUUUCCGCUCAUUCUCCGGUUCGGCACGCCGUGCUGCUGCUCACAUCGGUUCUCAACCCAAGGCCUCAUCAUCCUCUCCCUUUCGCAUGGCAACUAACAAACCCCUCUCUCAUCGUACUUUCAGGUGUGCGCCUGAGAUGAGCUUCUGUUUGGAGUCAAUGAUGCCAUUUCACUCUGUGUCGUCCUCAGCUUUGAUGACUUCAAUGCUCUCUAUCUCGCGCCACAGCUGCGGUUGGCUCCCCGAAGGGGCCAAAGUGCGAGCACCCAAAGGUGAUUACAGGUAAAGAUGCUAAUGGGAGACAAGAUAAGAAAGACUUAAAAUGUUAAAAGGGUGUUUAUUUCUACACCAAUACAAAGCAAAUAACCAAAUCACGAAAAAGAUCAAAACGAGUAGAAUCGUUACGAAAAAGACGCUUGUUCCAACUCUCCCAAAGAAGCCAAAAGAAAGCUUGAAUGAUCGCCAUCCAAAGCAUUUUCUUGCGACCAGUAAAAGGGUGACCCACCAACAAGCAAGAUAGAUUAUCAAACAUAUUAUGGGAAAGAACCACUGGCCAACCGAAAGCAUCAAGAAUAUAUCACCAAAAAUAGGAAGCAAAGUACAAUGAUUAAAAAAGGUGGGCAGCAGAUUCAGAAUGAGCUUCACACAUAUGACACCAAGAAGGAGAGAUAACCAUUUACGGCGUACGAUCUUGAAGGCAGUCAGGAAUACCACUAUGACUGAGCUCCCACAAGAAAAUUUUGAUUUUCUAAGGAUAACAAUCCAACCAAAUAGCCGAAUAGACAUCCGAAGCAGGGCGAAUAUCAUUUCUCGCCAAACCAUCCAUAAGAGAUAAAACCGACAAAGAGGAAGAAGGUCCGGUUGUCCAAAUCCAAGAAUCAGCAACCUCACGAAAAAGACAGAUUGUAAAUGCUGUGAUAAAGCCAUCCUCAACAAUUUUAGAUUCUGUGAGAUUACAGUGAAUACGCAAAUGCCAAGCAGCAGCAUCCUCGACCCAUACAUCAGCCACUUUGAUAUCUGGAAAACGAGCCAAACGAAAGAGACGAGGGAGAACAUUUGAGAGAAUACCACAACUAAGCCAGGGAGCCUUCCAAACUGAGGUUGAUGAAUCAUUGCCAAGAUGAUGCUGUGUGCGGCUGGCCACCAAAUCGGUAGUUUGACAAAGAGUCUCCACGGAGAUUUGGAUGAACCCCAAAUAGGCGAAGGCCAAAUAUAGUUAAAAAGAGUAGUAUUGGGCCACAAUGAGUUGUCUCCACAAGGCAUUAGAUUCCUGCAAAAACCACCAGAUCCAUUUGGCAAGAAAGGCAUGGUUGCGAACACGAUAAUUACCAAUACCCAAACCGGCCAUCAGACGAUCACGUUGUGUAGUCUCCCAAUUAAUUGUGUGCAUACCAUCCAUGCCUUGAACACCUUCCCAGAAAGAGCAUGAAAAAGAGAUAAGUAAUAAGUUGGCAAGCAAGAGAGAGAAGCCUGAAUCAGCAUAUGACGAACCCCUUUAGAUAUAUACGCAUAUUUUCAAUUGUGAAGCUUAUGAUGCAUGCAUUCAAUAACGGGAUGCCAAAAAGUAGAUGUAGAGUUACCACCUAAAGGCAAGCAAGGUAAGUAGAAGGCCGAUGACCAAGCUUGCAACCAAAGGAACAAGCCAAAGAGUCCAUGGUGGAUGAACCUAAAUUAUUACCCAACCUAAAUUAUUACCCAAAAGCUCACUCUUUGAAAAAUUAAUAGUCAAACCGGAAGUCGCUUCAAAGAUAUAUAUCAUCUCGAGAAGAUGCUGAAGAGCAGGAGUAUUUGUAAAGGAAAAGAUUAAAGUAUCAUAAAAAAUUGUUAAUGGCUAAGCACAAAAUAAGAGUCAUCAAUAGGAUGAGCAACAAUGAGGCCCUUGGAUAAACUAUGAUCCAUAAGACGGCUAAGACAAUCAGCAACUAGAAUGAAUAAGAAAGGUGAAAGAGGAUCACCCUGUCUGUCUAAUGCUACACGGAGGGAUAAUCUUACCUUGAGGCCGACCAUUACUAAUGAUUGAAAAACUUGCACUAGAGAUGCACCCACGAAUACAAGACCGCCAAAUAGGAUCAAAACCUUUGAUUUGGAAGAUUAUAUAUUCAAUUUUAUUCUGCAACUAUAUUGGACUACAGCCUACUAGAUCGUUGUACAAUAAAUUUGGCAUCUACAUAGUUUAAAUAUUAUUGUUAAUCAAGUAUUUGGAUCUGAUGAUUUGUUGUUAUAUUUUCAUUUCUACUACUUCAGAAAGAUGGAAGUUGCAAAUUCAUAUAUUACUAUCCAUAAGUAGAUGAGAAGAAGUUUGAAGUGGUCAGUAGAAAGUUGAAGUCUUCUUUAUGAAUGAUACACUGAAACAUCCUUUGCUUCCAACUAGAAUGAAUGUUUGUAGUUUCCAUGACCCAAAA